GGAAUAUUGCACAAUGGGCGAAAGCCUGAUGCAGCGACGCCGCGUGAGGGAUGACGGCCUUCGGGUUGUAAACCUCUUUCAGUAGGGAAGAAGCGAAAGUGACGGUACCUGCAGAAGAAGCGCCGGCUAACUACGUGCCAGCAGCCGCGGUAAUACGUAGGGCGCAAGCGUUAUCCGGAUUUAUUGGGCGUAAAGAGCUCGUAGGCGGUUUGUCGCGUCUGCCGUGAAAGUCCGAGGCUCAACCUCGGAUCUGCGGUGGGUACGGGCAGACUAGAGUGAUGUAGGGGAGACUGGAAUUCCUGGUGUAGCGGUGAAAUGCGCAGAUAUCAGGAGGAACACCGAUGGCGAAGGCAGGUCUCUGGGCAUUUACUGACGCUGAGGAGCGAAAGCAUGGGGAGCGAACAGGAUUAGAUACCCUUG
rnacentral:rRNA from 1 species